UCCCCAGGUUGUUGCUCAGACAGUCAAACCACAGCCUCCUCCUCUACCUGGCAAUUAAUCCUGCUGUGCCCUGAAACCUGGGUUGGGUCUUACUCUGCCAGGUACUGAAGCAAGAAGAGACGGGCCGCCAGGCGUGUUAUCGCUUGUCUCUGGGGCAGAGAGGCGGUUGCGACAGAGCCCCUGCAUGCGUGUGGACGUGCCUGCAUGGAGCGAACUUCUGUGCUGCUUUGGAACAAGAACCAGUUCUGUGAUGCCUGGUCUGUUAAGGUCAAACAAAUAGGUCUGGACGUCUCUUCUGCCUCAGACUCCACCUACUCAAUCCUCCUUCAUUAGAUGAGCACACCAAGACAGAGGUUUAGUAUCUUGCCAGAAAUCGAGAGGAGAAGCGAGGAAUAAGACCAGCUCUGGCUCCCCACAGCUUUCGAUGGUACUGAGUGGUGCACCCUUGGACCCUGAUGGUGUGGGCAAUUCUCCCAUAGGUCUGGCCCGAGUCUCUCCUGCUCUUGUCUGAAUUGGAUCAGAUGGAAGGACCAUGUCAGUAGGUUGGUUCUGCUCCCAACCCAGCCUCAAGAGACAUCACCCAUCCCUUGGUACAGGCGGUAGCCUUCCAGUUACUGGGGUGGGGAAUGUUUGCCUUCUGUUAAUGAAAAGAAAUAGAUGUGAUAAUAAAUAAAUGCCCAACCCAGUGCAGCAAUCGA